rnacentral:lncRNA from 1 species
CCAUUGGAUUUCCCCCUUCAAAUCACCCUUUUAGGAACUUAAACCUUCUUCUCCAAACCGACAGUCUAUCUCUCCAAAAUCUUUGUUUUUCAUCUAAAAUCCUUUCCACUCUACCUCUCAUUAGGUCUCCUAAGCUAUUUGCAAGUCUCUCUUGUCCGAAAUGGUUCUCAAAAUAAAGCUACCACAGAGAAGAAAGUUUGCUCAUGGGUU